GCCGUUGUAGCUCAGUUGGUAGAGCACUUCCUUGGUAAGGAAGAGGUCACCGGUUCAAUCCCGGUCAACGGCUCCA
rnacentral:tRNA from 1 species